UUUGGAAUUGAUAUGUGUGAUAAUGAUGUUAGCUUUUUAAAAAUGUUGUGCGCGAGGAAGUGAUUGCAUGACGUCAUUUGGAGGAGGAACUAAAUGUGAUGUGAGUGAGUUUCUAUGCUUCCGCAGCUGAUUUAUAGUAUACAAUACUGGUAAAUUUGAUUUGUAUGAACAAUUUGGAUUGGAGAAGAAGUGUUCGGCUAAUAUAUUUCAAAAACUCUGUGGGCUUUCAA
rnacentral:lncRNA from 1 species